GCCGGUCGUAACAACUCGCAGACCGAUAAAACUUAAGAUUCGAGGGUACGCUCCGGAUACGAUACUUUGUGUUAUCGCACGUGCAAGUUAUAGGCGUAAUAAAAACAAAUGUUUUGAAUAGUUACAGCUACCCUUGCAAUCCAAUGUUCUUCAUUCACUGAACAAAAUGAACUUUACCUCGAAACACGAGCACACCACUGGAGAUAAUGUUCUCCAAAUCGGUCGCGAUACACUGUAAACGUUCGAUCGUGGCUAUAUGAAAAUUUAUACAUGCAGGAAAUAGGCUAGGACACCGGCCAGGUGGUCAUUGCGAUUCAUCGAAGGGCAACAAGGCAACGGUUAAAAGGCGGCACCUUUUAUGCUCCAGCAACCUUGGUCUGUAAUUAUCAACAAACUCUUAUAGAGUUGCAUGACUCAGACCCUGAAUUGCUCUUUCAACUGAUCAGUGACAUUCUGAUAAUUGAAUAUAAAUAAUACAUAAAAACACGAAACUUUUUAAAGUGGUUAUAACAUGCUUACAAUAAAAACAAAAGAUUAUGAUAAUAUAUUCAAUCACGAGAUCUAAAAGAAUGAAAUUGUUUAAGAUGGCAAUAAGAUACUACAUUAAUAAGAACAAAAUUUAAAGAAGUAUAGCAUAAAUAAGUAUACUGAAAUAUUAAUAUUUCUAAAUAUAAUUUAUCUCUUUUAAUCAGAUUAUUUUAUUACAUGAUUUAAUGAGACAUUACGAGUACUGUAUUCUAUUGAGAUAAAAGGAAUUAAAAACCAAGAAAAAUUAAAUUAUAUGACAUCUAGAAUUUGCUAACUGUGAGGUAAUAUUUAAAAAAUAUCUAAACCUUCUUGUAUAACAAGAUACCAACUAAUAAUAUUAGUAAACUGACAAAGUACAAAUUGCAGGGUAUAGAUUACAUUUCUGUAUAAUUUCAUAAUCUUUUAUCAAAUAAAACAGUGAUUAUUGACAAUCUAUAAAUGUUACUUGUAAAAUUUCAUUUGUUUUAUUUAAAUGGAAGCUUAUGUUAAUAUCAUGCAAUAAUAUUUUACUUUACAUUAUUAUGAGACUGCAAGAAACACUAUGGCUGCAAUUUUCUUUUCUUCUCAAACGGUGCUUCUUUUGAUGUACGUUACUUUUCCAGUCCGGAAAUUAAUGCUUCGAUACGAAAAUUACUAACUAUAAAUUUAUAUUCUUCGAGAAAUUACAGUACUCGACGUCUUUCAUACCAUAGAUUAGUAAGUUUACGGUAAAUUUUCUAUUAAAUAUUAUGGCAAAGUGAGGAAAUGGAGAAGUUAUGAAAAAAAAAUGUUGUAUUAAAAGAGAAUUGUAUAAAAUAAAUGCUUUAACAAUAAAGUUGCAAAUUUUAUUAAGAUAUAAUAAUAUAACAAUUGAAAUUAUUAAUCUAUUAUAAAUAUAUUUUUUAGUCAUUAACUUCAUACCUACAUUAAAGAAAGCACCUAAGCCGGACCAAACCAUAAAAUUUCUUUAUUUCUAGCUAGAUUUUGUUUCUUACUUCAUGAAAACAAAAUAUCACAUGCUGCAGCACUGAAUUCAUUAGGAAAAAUAAAUUGUAAAAAAUAUAUAAUAGAUUACACCAAGCUAAAAAAGAAGCCUCACAAUGGUUCUUUAGCAAGUAUAUACAUUACACAUGAACCACGAAUCUCGUUUUAUUCCAGAAAUUCGAUAAUUUUUCCCCUGAAAAGUCAUCGAUAACCUGUAAACAUUCGUUCCUUGAGAAUAAUAAUAAAUGAGAAUGAGAAGAAACAAGAAAUAUCUUCUGAUCUCAUAUGAAGAAUAAACAAGAAAUUAUAUAGGAUAACCAUAUAUGGUUCUUCAAUGCACAAUAUAGUGUUUCAAAACUAUGAUUUAGCGAAGUAAGUGAUAGUAAAUAGUAAUGAAAAAAAAUAUAUAUGUUUUAUUUAAUUAACAUAUUUCCCAUUUCGCUUCAUUUUUUACAAAUUCUAAUCCAAUCAAUAAGCAACUUAAUAUAUACCAAAUCCCCAUAAAAAAUCUUAUAUAUGUAGCUAAUCAGUAGUCGCUUAAAACUUACAUCUUCCUAAUCAUUAGACUGCGGAAGUUUAUGCUUUUAUAGAAAAUUUGAAUGCAUGCAAUACACAAAGUAUGCAAAUAUAUAUUAAAUAUUUAAGAUAAAACAAACACUUAUAAAAAAGACAUCUGUCUAUAGACAAA